GUUACUUUCAGCAGUGAGGAAGGCGGAGUCGUUAAUAGCGGCUCGUUUGACGUUAGCUGCAGAAGAAGCACCGGCUAACUCCGUGCCAGCAGCCGCGGUAAUACGGAGGGUGCGAGCGUUAAUCGGAAUUACUGGGCGUAAAGCGCAUGCAGGUGGUUCGUUAAGUCAGAUGUGAAAGCCCCGGGGCUCAACCUCGGAAUUGCAUUUGAAACUGGCAGACUAGAGUACUGUAGAGGGGGUAGAAUUUCAGGUGUAGCGGUGAAAUGCGUAGAGAUCUGAAGGAAUACCGGUGGCGAAGGCGGCCCCCUGGACAGAUACUGACACUCAGAUGCGAAAGCGUGGGGAGCAAACAGGAUUAGAUACCCUGGUAG
rnacentral:rRNA from 1 species